UACGGAAGGGGCAAGCGUUGUUCGGAAUCAUUGGGCGUAAAGGGCGCGUAGGUGGUUCUGUAUGUCUACCGUGAAAGCAUACAGCUCAACUGUAUUUUGUUGGUAGAAACUGCAGGACUUGAGGCUGGGAGGGGCUGGUGGAAUUCCCUGUGUAGCGGUGAAAUGCGUAGAGAUGGGGGAGAACACUCGUGGCGAAGGCGGCCAGCUAGACCAGUUCUGACACUGAGGCGCGACAGCGUGGGGAGCAAACAGG
rnacentral:rRNA from 1 species